UUUUUCUCCAAAUUGCAAAAACAUAUUAGAUACACAGUAGCUUUCGUCAUGUCAGCAGCAAAUAAACAAAAAUUACUAAUUAUAAAUAUAUUUGCAUUCAUUUUGAUUUUCCCUUGUCUCUUGUGGGCGCAAGAGCUAGAGAAGGGCGUGGAAUAUGGUGAAUUAAAGUCGAAAACACUUUGCGCUGAAGAUAUUUUGGGAACAAAUGAAAUAUGUUAUUAAACUUUCCCCAAUGGAAAAUUAAUUGAAAAAUGUCUAUUGUAUGUUGUAAAUAAAGCGAUAAACCAAAUUGUAUGUUAGUCUA